AUACGUAGGUGGCAAGCGUUGUCCGGAUUUAUUGGGCGUAAAGCGAGCGCAGGCGGUUUCUUAAGUCUGAUGUGAAAGCCCCCGGCUUAACCGGGGAGGGUCAUUGGAAACUGGGAGACUUGAGUGCAGAAGAGGAGAGUGGAAUUCCAUGUGUAGCGGUGAAAUGCGUAGAUAUAUGGAGGAACACCAGUGGCGAAGGCGACUCUCUGGUCUGUAACUGACGCUGAGGCUCGAAAGCGUGGGGAGCAAACAGGAUUAGAUACCCUGGUAGUCCACGCCGUAAACGAUGAGUGCUAAGUGUUGGAGGGUUUCCGCCCUUCAGUGCUGCAGCUAACGCAUUAAGCACUCCGCCUGGGGAGUACGGCCGCAAGGCUGAAACUCAAAUGAAUUGACGGGG
rnacentral:rRNA from 1 species